rnacentral:pre_miRNA from 1 species
UGUUAAAAGAUCCAUCCAUUUUGACAGUUAAAAACUGACAGAAUAAUCAAACAAUUACACAUAACACAUAUACCUCAUCCUAAUGCACAUGGACUAGUUUUUAACUGUAGAAAUGAUUAAACUUUUUAACA